rnacentral:rRNA from 1 species
UCGGCGGGCCCGCCAUUGGCCGCCGGGGGGCUCGUGACUUGUGCGCGUUGCCCCCGGGCCCGUGCCCGCCGGAGACCUCCCUCGAAAUGCUACUGUGGUCUGAAAUGCUGUCUGAGUGGGAAUGAUGUGAGAAAUUGAUCAGUCAAAACUUUCAACAAUGGAUCUCUUGGUUCCGGCAUCGAUGAAGAACGCAGCGAAAUGCGAUAAGUAAUGCGAAUUGCAGAAUUCCGUGAGUCAUCGAAUCUUUGAACGCACAUUGCGCCCCCCGGCUGCCCGGGGGGCAUGCCUGUCCGAGCGUCAUUGCCAUCCCCUCAAGCUCCGCUUGGCUGGUUGGGCCGACGUCCACCCGUGGCUUUGUGCCCAGGGGGGACGGACCCGAAAGGCAGUGGCGGCUCCCGGAGGGUGGUCCCUUGGGGCGGUGAUACAUGGGUUGUCAUCUUUCACCGCUCUGUUGGCCACGCUCCGGGGGUCUGUCGAAACGAUUUGGUCUUCCCCUUUAGGUUG